AUACAUUCAUAUAUACAUAUACAUAUGCAUAUACAUAUACGUAUACGUGUGUGUGUGUGUGUGUGUGUGUGUGUAU